UACAGAGGUGGCAAGCGUUGUUCGGAAUUACUGGGCGUAAAGGGCGCGUAGGCGGCCUUCUAAGUCAGACGUGAAAUCCCCCGGCUUAACCUGGGAACUGCGUCUGAUACUGCGUGGCUUGAGUGCAGGAGAGGAAUGCGGAAUUCCAGGUGUAGCGGUGAAAUGCGUAGAUAUCUGGAGGAACACCGGUGGCGAAGGCGGCAUUCUGGACUGUAACUGACACUGAUGAACGAAAGCCAGGGGAGCAAACGGG
rnacentral:rRNA from 1 species